AGUUGUCAGUGGAAAGAAUAUUUGAGAACCAAGAAGUGCCAUCAUGGAGGAAUCAGCUGACACUGAGGGCCUUUGUGGUGAGCUUCGUGUUGAGCAUUUUGUUCAGCGUCAUAGUAAUGAAGCUCAAUCUUACAACUGGUAUCAUACCUUCCCUCAAUGUCUCUGCUGGCCUUCUGGGCUUCUUUUUUAUCAAGACCUGGACAAAGUUUCUUGAAAAGUCUGGCCUUUUGAAGCAACCCUUUACGAGGCAAGAGAACACAGUUAUCCAGACUUGUGUGGUUGCAUCCUCUGGCAUUGCCUUUAGUGGUAUACUUUCUGUACUUCUUACUGCCAUCAAUUUUCAUUUCAUCUCUCUUACUUUUUGGGUUGAGGAGAUAUGUAGGCUUCUUUGAUCAAGAUAUUAAAAUUUCUGUGCAUUAGGUUUUGUUUCUGUUCUUAAAGGUUUGAAACUUACAGUAGUUACUAAAACUCAAUGUCAAGAUUUGCUUCUUCUAAUUGCUAUAUUACAUGAUAAAGGCAACCCUUUUUCUCUCUCUGGAUCCCUUUUAUCUCAGUUGUGAGUAGAUUUACAUGAUCCUUGAAGACAAGAAUUAAUUCCUUACUGCCUAAAGUCUUCGGGAGGCAAAUCAAGAUUGAGGUUUUAUGACUAUCAGUUCUGCUAUUGCUUCAGCCACUUGUGAAGUUUUACUAAACUAAUCAACACUUGAACUUGCUGUUUGAGACAUGAACAAAUAUACUUUAGUAAAAAAGUUUAAUCAAAUGGUCUGUAAAUUUUCUUUACUAGCUUUUCCCUGUCUCAUGGUGUGUGAUAAUGGUGGAGGGGCUUUUUAUUUUUCUUAUGGUCCUCCACGAGGCAUUAGGUGUGGCUGGCAGAUGUCUCUAGACAGAUACUUUUUUGACAAUUCAAUUCAUAUGAGCUGGAUAUGGAUGAUUCGCUAACUUCAAAGUUAUACAAGUCUUAUAAGAAUAUUCUGAUUAGUGGAAAAGGAAGUCUUCCCCAUUAGGGAGAAAAGAAAAUAUGAAUAAUUAAUUUGUUUGUACUGUUAAUCUAGCUUUCAUCAUGUAAAAUUAAUUUGAAUACACUACAUCAUGUGAAAUUGUUGUAACGAUAGAAAUAAUUUGUGAUUAUGCUCAAGAUGAAAUUAAGCUUGUUGAUUUUUUGUAGUAAUAGUUUCCAUUCUAUAAUCUGUUUCUUGUUUCCUUACAAUAGGAGGCUUUGGGAGCUAUCUGUUUGGAAUGAGUGAAACCGUGGCCAUACAAUCAACAGAAUAUAGAGAUGUCUUUAAGAACCCAUCUCUGUCAUGGAUGAUUGGCUUUCUGUUUGUUGUUAGCUUUCUUGGACUCUUUUCAGUGGUGCCUCUUCGAAAGGUAGACUUCACAACAUUUGAUUAUCGCCAUUCAAUUUCGUAUAGGAAAUAGAAAACUUCUCUCUGCAUUUUGCUUUCUUGUUGAAUGUAUUGAUUUUGCCAAAAUCUAAUCUUCAUUGUUAUUUCCAGGUCAUGAUUGUAGACUUCAAAUUGACAUAUCCAAGUGGCACUGCAACUGCUUAUCUCAUCAACAGCUUCCACACUCCUGCAGGAGCCAAGCUAGCAAGGUAAGGCAUUAUCAGACCUCAUGCACAUAUAGUUGGAUGAUCAUUCGGCAUGUAAAAGUAUCAAACUUCUUCUUUUUUUACUACCGUUUCAGAAAACAAGUGAAAGCGUUGGGCAAGUUCUUAUCAUUCAGCUUCUUGUGGGGUUUCUUUCAGUGGUUCUACACUGCAGGAGAUGGUUGUGGAUUUGUUGAGUUCCCCUCACUCGGGCUUAAAGCAUAUGAAAACAAGUAAAAGCAUUACUCAAACUUCCAAAAUCCUCUCAUCCUAUUGAAUGUAGUUCAAUUUAUUAUGGCACUGUGUUUCAAAUUUGUUGCGGUAUCCUUGACUAAUAAUGUUAUUGUUAUAUGUACAGAUUUUUCUUUGAUUUCUCAGCAACAUAUGUUGGAGUUGGAAUGAUUUGCCCCUACAUCAUAAACAUAUCAGUUUUGCUUGGAGGAAUUCUUUCCUGGGGUCUCAUGUGGCCUCUCAUAGAUACAAAAAAGGGUGAUUGGUAUUCAGCAGACCUCAAAUCUAACAGCCUACAUGGCCUCCAAGGUUACAGGGUAAGUUUUCUAACAAGGUUAAGGUGACAAGAGUGCUAUUCUUGAAGCCUUUUCAUUCAUAACAACUCUUAUGCAAUGAACUCAGGUAUUUAUUGCCAUUGCCCUGAUCUUGGGUGACGGUCUGUACAACUUCUUCAAGGUGCUAAGCCGAACACUCACUGCCUUGUAUUUUCAACUUCAAAGGAAAGAUGCAACUGGUGCCCUCCCUAUUGCGGACCGUUCCUCUCCUGAGAACUCCAGGAUCUCAUACAAUGAUCAACGCCGCACCCAACUCUUUCUCAAAGAUCAAAUUCCAACAUGGUUUGCUGUUGCAGGCUAUGUCGCAAUUGCUGCUAUCUCUAUAGCCACGCUACCGCAUAUAUUUCCUGAACUCAAAUGGUAUUACAUAUUGGUUAUCUACAUCUUCGCCCCAGCCCUUGCAUUCUGUAAUGCUUAUGGCUGUGGCCUCACUGACUGGUCCCUCGCUUCCACCUAUGGAAAGCUUGCAAUUUUUGUAAUUGGAGCAUGGGCUGGUGCCUCUCAUGGUGGAGUUCUUGCAGGACUAGCGGCCUGUGGAGUCAUGAUGAAUAUCGUGUCCACAGCCUCCGACCUCUCUCAAGAUUUCAAGACUGGUUAUCUAACCCUUUCUUCACCACGGUCCAUGUUUGUUAGCCAACUAAUUGGCACUGCAAUGGGUUGCAUUAUUUCACCUUGUGUCUUUUGGCUGUUUUUCAAGGCCUUCAAGGAUCUUGGGAUUCCUGGAAGUCAAUACCCUGCUCCUAAUGCUACUGUAUUUCGAAACAUGGCUAUAUUGGGGGUAGACGGAUUCUCGUCUCUACCAAAGAAUUGCCUCUAUCUUUGCUAUGGGUUCUUCAGUGCAGCUAUUCUGAUAAAUUUAAUUAAGGAUGCAUUGGGUAAGAAAUGGGCUAGGUUCAUUCCCAAUCCAAUGGCGAUGGCUAUACCUUUCUAUAUUGGCUCAUACUUUGCCAUCGACAUGUGUGUGGGAAGCUUGAUGCUGUUUAUCUGGGAAAAGAUUGACAAGGCAAAGGCAGAUGCUUUUGGGCCAGCAGUGGCUUCUGGUUUGAUUUGCGGGGAUGGGAUAUGGACUUUGCCUAGUGCGAUACUUGCUCUAGUAGGAGUAAAACCUCCCAUUUGCAUGAAGUUUUUGUCAAGGAGAACAAAUGCUAAGGUCGAUGCGUUCUUAGGGUCAUAAAGUCGAAGUUGAGAUCAACUUGAAUAGAAACUGUUAAGUAAAGCUGAAUUGCUUCCUAGACUAAGGUUAUGAAGUUUACAUGUGAAGUUCGACUCAAAAAUGCUGUGGAUAAUCAAUCACCUGCAAUUUCGUGGAGCCAACCACUAUUUUCGCUAUAAUCUUUUCUGGAGAAGAAAAUCAAAUGUCCAUUUACUUACAUAUGUUUGUAGUUUUUUUCUAGUCUAGUUUGAAGAAGAUAGUAGAACAGAUGCAUCAAGCAAUGUGAAAAGUGAAAAUUACAGUACCCUUUGUGAGCUGUUAUGAUCAGUUGCUAUAUUUGGUAUCAGUUUGCUCAUUUUGCUAGCUAUCAUAUAUCAGGUGGUCCGAUGUGGCAUUGGAAUGGCCUUCUAGUUGUUAGCAGUCUCACAAUAAAAUCAUGCCAGACUUAGUCAUCCAACACGAGAAAAAAAAAAAGAUGGAAAAAAUAUCAGAUGCGUCGAGGAAGACGAUAAAAGCUUCAGCGAAUGAGACUUGUAACAAAUAUUUUACCUAGGUGUUUCCUAAUAAUAUGAAAAGAAGCUGAAAAAUAGAUAAGCAUUCCCGUAGUGAUCUUAAUGGCAUCUAAGCCCAGAGUGAGUGAAGUACAUAAAGAGUGCAACUAUAUUCAUAGUUAAUUAUCAUAGAAUCCUCAACUCUCCAUCUUGCUGUUGUUAUGAUUUGUUUAUAACUCAUCUUCAAUCUCAUGCUUUGUAAGGCAAGAUCCUGCAUUGUUUUUUAGAGAUAAGUUUAAAUUAAAUAACGUUAUAUUUUAUAUAUAUAAUAUAAAGAUUACAAACUCAAUCAUUUGGAUUAUUUUGUGACUGUAGUGUGUUUAAAAAUAUAACAGUAAGUAAUUCCUGUUCUAGAAAAUUUUAAAAUAAUAUAUUUUUUUUAUUUUAAAAAAUGUAUUUUUCAUAUUAGUAUAUUAAAAUAAUUAAAAAAUAUUAAAUAAAAAGUAAUUUAAAACACAGACAGGUUAAAACUCACUGCAACGACCCGUUUUAACUCCUCCUCAUGUUCGUCUUCAAUUCGGAUGUGUUGAGCAAUAAUCACAGCCACUUAUUAAACACGCUCCCAACUCUCUUCGUCUCCAUAAAGAAUCAUUCUUUUAAGAAAAUAAAAUGGAACGUAAUGAAAGAGACGACACCAAGGUAGAGAAUGAUUAUGAUUUGGAGGAUGAUCAUGGUCACAGAAAGAAGGACAAGAAAGAGGAACAAGAAGAAGAGUUGUCAGUGGAAAGAAUAUUUGAGAACCAAGAAGUGCCAUCAUUGGAGGAAUCAGCUGACACUGAGGGCCUUUGUGGUGAGCUUCGUGUUGAGCAUUUUAUUCAGCGUCAUAGUAAUGAAGCUCAAUCUUACAACUGGUAUCAUACCUUCCCUCAAUGUCUCUGCUGGCCUUCUGGGCUUCUUUUUUAUCAAGACCUGGACAAAGUUUCUUGAAAAGUCUGGACUUUUGAAGCAACCCUUUACGAGGCAAGAGAACACUGUAAUACAGACUUGCGUGGUUGCCUCAUCUGGCAUUGCCUUUAGUGGUAUACUUUCUGUACUGUUUACUAUCAUUAAUUUUCAUUUCAUCUCUCUUAAUUAUUUUGAAAUUCAAUUUUUUUUUCUCUUUUCUUUCGAAGUUGAGGAGAUAUCUAGGUUUCUUUUAUCAAGAUAUUAAUAUUUCUGUGCAUUUGGUUUUGUUUCUGUUCUUAAAGGUUGCAAACUUACAAUAGUUACUAAAAUUCGAUGUCAAGAUUUCCAUCUUCUAAUUGCUAGAUUACCUGAUGAGGCAACCACUUUUACUAGAGUAAUCAACACUUAAACUUACCAUUAGAGACAUGAACAAAUCUAUCUCUGUCUCCUGGAGUGUGAUAAUGUUAGGGGUGCAGCUGGUAUGUCACUUGACAGAUACUUUUUUGACAGUUCAAUUCAUAUGCGCUGGAUGUGGAUGACUUCCUAAGUUCAGAUUUAUAUCAGCAAGUCUUAUAACAAUAUUCUGAUUUGUGGAAAAAGAAGUCUUCUCCAUUAGUAAAAGAAAGGAAAAUGUGAAUAAUAUAUGUUUCUAGAAUGCUAGUUGUGAGCUUGCGUUAUUAAUCAAACAUCUUCUCAAACUGUGAAUCAUUAACAUAAUGUCAAGAUGAAUACAUUAUAUUUCUAACUCGUCCAAAUAGUCAAGAAAAGCCUGAUUACUUGCCAAACUUGUUUCGAAACUGAAUUAAUUAUUGUCAUGAAACGGUUAAUUUGUGAUUAUGCUUAUGAUGAUAUUAAACUUGUUGAUUUUUGUACUAAUGGUUUCCAUUCUAUAAUUUUUUCCUUGUUUCCUUAUAAUAGGAGGCUUUGGGAGUUAUCUGUUUGGAAUGAGUGAAACUGUGGCCAAACAAUUAACUGAAGAUAGUGAUGCCUUUAAAAAUCCAUCUCUGUCUUGGAUGAUUGGCUUUUUGUUUGUCGUUAGCUUUCUUGGGCUCUUUUCGGCGGUGCCUCUACGAAAGGUAGACUUUACAACUUAUAUCAGCAUUCAAUUUCUUUAUAUGAUUAUAGAAAAUAGAAAACUUUUUUUUGCAUUUUACAUUUUUGCCGAAUGUAUAGAUUUUCCAAAAAUUAAUCCUCAUUGUUACCCUGGUUAUUUCCAGGUCAUGAUUAUAGACUUCAAAUUGACAUAUCCAAGUGGCACUGCAACUGCUCAUCUCAUCAACAGCUUCCACACUCCUGCAGGAGCCAAGCUAGCAAAGUAAGGCGUUAUCAGACCUCAUGCACUUAUAGUUGGAUGAUCAUUUGACAUGUAAGAGUAUUGAACUUUGUUAUUCUACUGUUACAGGAAACAAGUGAGAGUGUUGGGCAAGUUCUUCUCAUUCAGCUUCUUGUGGGGUUUCUUUCAAUGGUUCUACACUGCAGGAGAUGGUUGUGGAUUUGCUGAGUUCCCCUCGCUUGGUCUUAAAGCACAUGAAAACAAGUAAAAGCAUUACUCAACCUUCCAAAAUCCUCUCUUCUUGUUGAAUGUAGUUCCAUUUACUAUGGCAUUCUGUUUCAAAUUCGUUGUGGUAUCUUUGACUAAUAAUGUUCUUGUUACAUGUACAGAUUUUUCUUUGAUUUCUCAGCAACAUAUGUUGGAGUUGGAAUGAUUUGCCCCUACAUCAUAAACAUAUCAGUUUUGCUUGGAGGAAUUCUUUCCUGGGGUCUCAUGUGGCCUCUCAUAGAUACAAAAAAGGGUGACUGGUAUCCAGCAGACCUCAAACCAGGCAGCUUGCAUGGCCUCCAAGGUUACAAGGUAAGUUUUCUAACAAGGUUAAGGUGACAAGAAUGCCAAUUACAUGAUUUUUAACAUUUUCUUGAAGCCUUUUCUUUCAUACCAACACUUAAGCAAUGAACACAGGUAUUUAUUGCCACUGCCCUGAUCUUGGGUGACGGUCUAUACAACUUCUUCAAGGUUCUAAGCCGAACACUCGCUGCAUUGUUUUUUCAACUUCGUGGGAGAGAUGCAACUGGUGCUCUGCCUAUUGCUGACCGUUCCUCUCCCAAGACAUCCAGGAUCUCCUAUGAUGAGCAACGUCGCACCCAACUCUUUCUCAAAGAUCAAAUUCCAACAUGGUUUGCUUUUGCAGGUUAUGUCACAAUUGCUGCCAUUUCUACAACCACCGUUCCGCAUAUAUUUCCCGAACUAAAAUGGUAUUACAUAUUGGUUAUCUACAUCUUUGCCCCAGCCCUUGCAUUCUGUAAUGCUUAUGGUUGUGGACUCACUGAUUGGUCCCUUGCUUCCACCUAUGGGACGCUUGCUAUUUUUGUAAUUGGGGCGUGGGCUGGUGCCUCUCAUGGUGGAGUUCUUGCAGGACUAGCGGCCUGUGGAGUCAUGAUGAAUAUUGUCUCCACAGCCUCUGAUCUAUCUCAAGAUUUCAAGACUGGUUAUUUGACCCUUUCUUCACCUCGGUCCAUGUUUGUGAGCCAGCUAAUUGGCACUGCAAUGGGUUGCAUGAUUUCCCCGUGUGUAUUUUGGCUUUUUUUUAAGGCCUUCAAGGAUCUGGGGACUCCUGGAAGUCAAUACCCUGCUCCUUAUGCUACUGUAUUUCGAAACAUGGCUAUAUUGGGGGUAGAAGGAUUCUCCUCUCUCCCAAAGAAUUGUCUCUAUCUUUGUUAUUGGUUCUUCGGUGCAGCAAUUCUGAUAAAUUUGAUCAAGGAUGUGUUGGGUAAGAAACGGGCUAGGUUCAUUCCCAAUCCAAUGGCAAUGGCUAUACCUUUCUAUAUUGGCUCAUACUUUGCCAUCGACAUGUGCGUGGGAAGCUUGAUUCUAUUUAUCUGGGAAAAUAUUGACAAGGCAAAGGCAGAUGCUUUUGGGCCAGCAGUGGCUUCUGGUUUGAUUUGUGGGGACGGGAUAUGGACUUUGCCUAGUUCGAUACUUGCUCUAGCAGGAGUAAAACCUCCCAUUUGCAUGAAGUUUUUGUCAAGGAGAACAAAUUCUAAGGUCGAUGCGUUCUUGGGGUCAUAAAUUUGAAGUUCAGAUCAACUUCAAAAGAAACUGUGAGUUAGAGCUGAAUUGCUUCCCAGACUAAGGUUAUGAAGUUUACAUAUGAAGUUCGACUAAAAAAUGCUGUAGAUAAUCACCUGCUAUUUGUGGAGUCAGCAACUAGUUUCUCUAUAAUCAUUUCUGGAGAAGAAAAUCAAAUGUCCAUUUACUUAUAUAUGCUUGUUAGUCGAUCCUUGGAAAUAUGCUUGUAGUUUUUUUCUUGUCUAUUUUGAAGAAGAUAGUGGAACAGAUGCAUCAAACAAUGUGCAAACGGAAAAUCACUGUACCCUCUGUGAACUUUAAACAUAAUAUCAAAAGUGAAUGUGCAAAUAUUACAGGUUGCAGGCAUGUUUAUUUUGAACAUAUUGCAAUUAUCGUUGUUGAUUUCUUCUUCCUUGUUCGUAUCCGACCUUCCAGAAUCACACCCAAGACCGCUGUUGUUAUCCUGGGUUGCUGCUCUACUGCCUUCAAUUCCUCAGCUGUUGUUUUGCUGUUUGAUGUUAUCACAGCUUUUGCACCAGUAUGUAUUAUCUUUGGAUUUUACUCAAUCUGGUAAGGUUAUGAUCAGUUGCUAUAUUUGGUAUCAGGUUUGCUCAUUUUGCUGGCUUUGGUAUCAGGUGGUCCAACGUGGCAUUAGUAUGGCCUUCCGGAACUGCUGUGUUCUUAUCAGUCUCUCACAAUAAAACCAUGCCAGAAUUAGUUACCCAACAGGGAAAAAAACAGGAAAGAAAAAAAAAAAAAACAUCAGAUGCAUCGAGAAAGACGAUAAAAGCUUCAGCGAUGAGACUUGUAACUAUCUAAACAGCCGAUCAAAUAAGUUUGAAGUGAUUGCUUGUGUAAUGAUUAUCUUAUUUUAUCUAGGUUUGUCCUAAGAAUAUGAAAGGAGUUGCAAAUAGACAAGCAUUGCUGUAUUUUUAAUGGCAUCUAAGCCGUAGGAGUAAGUGAACUGCAUAAACAGGUUAUCAUUUGGAUCAAACGUUGAUUUUGAAAAUAUCCUAAAAAUAAUUUUAUUUAUUUUAGUUAAACAAAUUUAAAUUAAAAUAAACACAUAAAUAAGAGCUCAUAAAAAUAACUCAGAAGCCUUAGCCUACUGACCCAACUUUGGCUAAAUAACACCAGGCUAGGCAUGCAUCGCAAUGGUAUGAAUACAUUUUCAAGUAUUAAGAUUUUGUUAAUUAAAAAAAGCAAAAAUAUUGUUUAUAUUUAAUAAAAUAAAUAUAAAAAAUUAUGAACCAAUAAUCUAAGAAAGAGCUUAUUCUAAUUAUAAAAUAAAAUAGAAAGAUAAUCUUUCCCUUAAGAGCAAAAGUGUAUAAAUAUACUUUUUUUUUAAUUUAUAUAUAUAUAUUUUAAUUUAUUUUAUCUUAGUUGUUGCUCUUACCAACAACAAAUGGCUUAUAUUUUUAUAAAUAAAUCAUGCAAAUACAAUUUAUUUUUAUAAAAUAUAAAAGAAACAAAAAUUAAAGAUAAAUUACAAUAAUUUCUUUGAAACAUUAUAAGAAUACCAAAAAAAAAGCAAAAAAAUAUAUUUAAGAAAUCUGAACUAAACUAUUUUAAAAAAUAAAAGAGAAUGUAUUAAUUAAAAUUCAAAUAAAAAAUAAUGCAAAGAAUAAAAGUACAUAAAAAAGGGUAUUAAUGAAAAAAGAAAACAAGAGAAAAUUAAAAGAAAAAAAAAGAAGAAGAAGAAGAGCAAAUCAUACUAGGUCUUGCAAGCUACCAAAAAGCCCAGCUAUUUUUUUUUAGUUGUUCGUUCCUUUAUUAUUUUUUUUAUACUAAAUUAUGAUAGUGUUUGUUUUUAUGAUAAUAUCAUAUUUUUUAAAAAUAAUUAAAAAAAAAUGUUUUAAAUUAAUUAAUUAAUUAUAUAUAUAUAUAUAUAUAUAUAUAUAUUAUUGAUUGUUUUGGUAUGCUAUCAUCAAAAAUAAUAUUUUAAUAUAUUUAUAAGUAAAAAUAUUUUAAAAAACAACCACUAUCAUAAUACCAAAUAUUAUCAACAAGUAUUUUGUUACGGGGAUGAUUUAUUAUCAUCUAAAUUAUUUUCUAGUUAUCUCUGGAAAUAAAAUAAAAAAUCAGUUUUAGAACCCCAAAAGUUUAUUUUUGUUGAAAUUUAUCCAAAUAUUUGGCAAAAAAAUUGUCAGAAGGUGCAUUUUUUAACACUAAACCCCAAAAAACCCUGCAUUGUUUCCUCUUUUAUCAAAUCUGGUCCCUAAAGUUUUUGUUUUAGCAUGCAACGUAACAAGAUUAAUUUGUUUUUGCAAAAUCAAGCAUGGACCAAAUAUGUUAGUAAAAGUUUAAAAGAAUAAUAAUAAAAAUAAAAAUGUUCACAGCGCAUCUGCUCACAAUCCACAUAGUAAUCCUAAACCCCUGGAGGUUUUUUUUUUUUUUUAAUGUGUUAAGUGAUAAGUAGUUAAAUAUAAGUUUAGAACUAUUAAAAGAUUAGUCUAGAAUGAAAAGAAUAAUCAGCACGUCAUUUCAUAUAAGACUAUUGUACGAUUUUUUAAAAAUAUAUAAAAAUAAAAUUGCUCUUUGUCCGAAGAUUAGAGUCUUUCAAAUAUGCUUCGUUCAUGUUCUCAAUAAAUCCCUCGUGUGAAUAUUUAGUCUUAUGAUAGCUAGCAGGUAGCUUGCGUUUGAUUUUUUGUUGUCUACCACUAACUUGCUUGACUGUCUUAAUUUAAUAUCUGCCAUCGAUUUCCAUAAAUGGUAAUAUAAGAGAACAAAAGGAUCAUAUAUGGGCUGCUUGCUGUUAUAGUAAAUUAAGGGCACGUGGAGACUACAUUAUUUUACGAAGAGGCCUCUGUUUGUUUUUCAGUGUGGACUCCAAGUGAAAAUACUGUGGAUUUGCAUGGUGUUUUUAUUUUUUUUAUUCUAUUAUCAAACUUUAUCAUUUUUAACUUCUUUAAUUUGUGUUCAUCGGUGAUUUGGCCUCGUAACUUAUUUCGUGCUACUAAUUUUAAGGUCUCGGUGGUCUUUUAAAAAAUAAAAAUACUAACCUCUUUUUGAAAAACAAAAUGCGUCAAUGCCUUUUUGGAAAAUUUAGGCUUGGGAUUUUGUCAAAUUUUAUUUUUCAUUUAGUCUGAAUAUUAUACAAGUCAGUCCAAUGCUUCAUUAUUUUUAUAUUUUAGUUUCUAAACUGAGAGGAGAUACAGUUGUCCAAAAACAAUAAAAAAGAGAAACAUGAUGGUUGUUCUAACUUAAUUAACAAAAAUAAUCAAAUUUGAUAUUAAAGUGUUUAUCUUGACAAGAAAAAUAUUAUUAAAGUGUUUUUAAACUUUUAUAUAAGGGUUGAGAGAGGUUUUUUGUUUUCAAUUUAUUUUUAAAUCAAUUUAGAUCUAUUUGAGCUGGGAAAUUAGUUUUUUAAGGCUAUACUAAUAUUUUUCAAGAGUUUCUAGGUGGGUUUAGGUUGAAAAUUGAUUUUUUGACUAAAAAAUUAUACAACUUGAUUUUUUGACCGUUUCUAUUUUUAUAAUGGUUAAAAUUUAGAUUUACAUCUGACACGUUAUCUACUUAUUAAUCACACAGGCCCACACUUGUAAUUUACUUUUUGAAAAAAUAUUUUUUUAACAAUAUUUAUUUUCUAAAAAAAGUCAUUGAUUCAAAAUAUAAUAUAAAUAAUUUCGGUUAAAUUCUUAGAUUUAUUAAGAAUGUCAUUUUAGAUAUUAUUUUAAUAGAUUCCAUUUAAUUUUUGUGUUGUUCUUGAACAAUCAUUAUUUUUAAAAAAUUCAUUUUAAUUAUUUUUUUAUUUAUUUGCUUGCUAUCAUAUAAUUAAAUAAAAUAUAAAUUUUUUAAAUUCAAUUGGACCCUAACUUAUGACCUAUAUUAAAAGUUUGAUAAGUUAAUUAAGAUUAAUAUGAUAUAUUACAGCUUUAAUAUUAAGAAAAUAAGGAUGUUGUUUUGAAAAAAACAUUUUAAUCAAAUCAUUAUUUUAAUAAUUUUUUAAGUUUUUUUUAUAUGGAUAAAAAUAAUCAAGUCAUAUCAAAUUAAUUAUUUAAUUUAAACUUGAGAUUGAUAAAGAUUCGAAUAAGAAGAUUUCAACCUAGAUGAAUUGAAUUGUGUGUAAUGAGACUUACAAAGUGUUUCUUUUAAUAACAUGCGACCUUUGAAAUGAUGAUUGAAUACUGUCUAAUAAAUAAAUGGUCUAGUGGAAUUUAAAAACAAAAAGUAGCACAUUAAUGAGACAAAUGAGUUUUAGUUAGAUAACUGUAUUUUUUAUUUUUAUUAAAAUCAUCAGGAUUUUUUUUUCCGGGUAUAUAUGUGGAAAGCUUUUAAUUUUUACUAAAUAAAUGACAUAGAAAAAAUGUUAUGUUUUUAAAAAAUUAAAGAUAAUAAUUAGAAUAUUUUUUCCAUUACUCUUCUUAUAAAAAAUAUUUAUGCCCUAUAAUUAAGUUAAAAAUAAUUAAAAAAAUUCACAGCAAAUGAUCAAAUAUUUUUAUUGCGUUUAUCUCUUUUCUUCACAAACUAGUUUUUAGUUAAUAUUAAAAUAUAUUUUAGCAUUUAUAAUUUUUAAUCUAUUUAAUUAAACAUAUCCAUCAAAUUUUAAGUUAAGAAAUAAGAUUUUUCUUUAGCUAGCAUUAAAACCUCUUAACUAGAUUAUUCCAUGUUGGAUAUUAUUACAAACAAUAUGAAUAGUUCAUCUCCUACAUCAGUUUGUUAUAUUUAACAAAAAUAAUAAUAAUUUUUGUUAGAUAUGAAUCUAAAAUUUAAAAUAAAAGAAAAUCAACAAAUUAAUAAAAUAUUCUUCCUUAACUGUGAGUUUAAUUAUUGGGGAUUUUUUUAUUCUCCAAUUAAUAUUGUGCAAGAAUCCUAGCUAGCAAAUAUUAUGGAAAUUAAGUUGAACAGUCGAAGGUUUGGUACAGCCAUGAUUUUUCGUUGGCUGCGGUGGCCAUGGACAAAUAUAGCAAGCUCCUCAAUUUCCAUUUUUGCAGGCUUUGAAUAGUAGAUUUCUGGCUGGACCAUCCAUCUUCUUUCCCACAUGUAUCAAGUCAAAAGAUACCUUUUAUAAGAUCAUGUUUAGUCUAUUCUUUAUUAUUUUUCGUACUUUACGGCCGCAUUUAGUCUUUGCAUGCACAAUUUUAAGAUUUAGGGUUUAUUUUUUUAUUAUAGGCCAGUUGUUUUCCCAUAUAUACGUCAAGACCUAUUUAAUUCAUUGCAGAAAUAACUUUGAUUUGUUUUUUCUAAACAUAGAAGAGUAAAAGCCUCUGCAUCCCUGUAGUUGUUGUUAUUUUUUAAAGUAAUUUUAAUUGAAAAAUAUAUUAAAAUAAUUUUUUUUUUAAUUAAGGUAGUCAUUUUCUUUAGUUAGAGCUAAUAUAUAAUCUAUUUUGAUAGAAAUAUCUAGGACACAUUGAUUUGAUUUUUAAUGAUUAAAAUCUCUUUUGACAUAGUCAGUGCAUAGUUAUAAUGUUUUACGUAGUUUUUUUUUUCAAAAAAUAGAUAGUUAAUAGCAAUACAAUUAAAACAUUUGAGGUGGUGGAAGUGUGGAACAAUGAACCUUUUGAAGCAAUCCCUUACUGGGAAGAUGACACUUUUAUCAAGACUUGGACAAAGUUUAAUUAAAAAGAGAAAGAAGUCAGUUAUUUCAAUUCAGUUGACAAAAUAACCAAACCCGAUGUAAAAGUAUUCAUUAGGAUUAAUAUUUUUAUUUAGUUAGCAUUAAAACCUCCUAUCCAAAUGAGGCCCAAGUUGGAUACUAAAACGUUUGAUUUCCUAAUUUUCUUUCAAAUAUAAGGAAUAUUCUCAUAUCACCUUGCUUAUAUAUUUAUCAAAACUUUUUGUUUUUACAAACAAUAUUAAAAGCAGGGGCAGAACAAAAAAAAUUAAAAGAGAUCAAAAUAUUAGUUAUUUUAUUAUUUAAGCUAAAUAUAUUAAUAUUAUAAAAGGAGGGGCUGAAAAAAUAAAUUUCUUGUAGGGGUCCCUUGAUUAAGGGUGCAUGUCAUACAUCAAUUUGUUAUAUUAAAAAAGAUUAAUAAAUUUUCUUAUAUAUAUCAAUACUAAAAAUUAAACUCAAAAAAUCAAAAAAUAAAACAUACUUCCAUAACGGUGAGUUUAAUUAUUGGGGUUCUUGAUUUGUCAAUAUUGUGCAAGAAUCCUAGCUAGCAAAUAUUAUAGAAAUUAAGUUGAACAGUGAAGGUUAGGUGCAGCCAUGAUUUUUCGUCGGGCGCGAUGACCAUGAGAAUACCACUACUAGUCUAAAGUAAAUUAUUGGGAUUUUUAAAAUCAAUCUUUCCACCGUGGUUUUUUUUUUUUUAAAAAAAAAAGGUUAAAUCAAGACCUUCUCGUAAGUCAGAGAUAAUAUAACCUAUCAUGAUAGAAAUAUCUAGAACAUUGAUUUUAAUUUUAAUAAUAUAUUAAAAUUUCUUUUCACUUAGUCAGUGGAUGGUUAUAAUUUUUUUUUAAUUAGUAGUAUUUGUUUUUCAAGUGUGUGUAUAUAUAUAUAUAUAAAAAGGAAAUUGAAACCAUUAAUUUUAAAUUUUAAAAUGAAUUAAUCUAAUAUGAUCAAACUACCGCAUUAAUCCAAUAAGAAUUUUAAAUAUUGGUUAAAAAGAGUUCUAAAUAGAAAUUCUUUUAGACUAAGAAAUCUUCCUCUAAUUUAAUUAGGAAUCCUUCUUCUACAAUUCAAUUCAAUAUACCAAAUAAAAUGACAUUGAAUUUAUUUUCCACGAAUAAGACUCAAGUUUAGAUGCACAAAACAUAAUUCUCGACCAAAAAAUAGUGUAGUAAGAGUUCAGCUCAACAAUUAAGCAUGUCCAACUCAACCGAAUGGCUUGAUUCCAAAAAUUCACAAAUCUAAAUAAUGCUAUUUCUUUUCCUGCAUAAAUCCUUAUAUCACUUUCGGAUCUGGACUUUGUAAGCGUGGCAGCCAAGUCAACAGUCAAUGGGCUCAUUUAAGGUGAAAAUCUUUAAAUCGACAUAUCAAAAUGAAUUGUGUGUUCAGAUUGAAGAUAUGAUUGGUUUUUUUAAAAGAUAUAGUUUUUUAAAAGUAUAAAUUAAUUAAAUCUAACAAAAAUAAAAAAUACAUAUUUUUUAUGUGGGUCUCACAAAAAAUACCAUAUAUAUCUCUAAGCCAAACACCCUUAGAAACCAUUGAAAUCAUGAAAUGGUCUUAUUGGUUUCAAUUUUCCAAACAUCUUUUAUAUAUAUGUAUAUAUAUAUAUAUAUAUAUAAUCAUUGAGUAUAUAUUAAAAAGUUUAUAAAACUAAAUAAAAAUAAAAUACAAGGACAUAAAAAAAAAACUCAAAUGGCAAGAAAAAGUUGUCCAGACACAAUUUUCUAGAAACCUUAAAUAAGGGCAUUGAUCAAAUUUGUCCCCGAUGACAAAUAAACUCCCAAUAUAGCACUUAUUUGGCCUUUUAAGACUUUUCAUAUCACGACUAAUUCUUAAUCGGGUGGUUCACUUUAAGUGGUGUAGCAAUUACAGUUAAAUUCGCUUAAUGGCCUUUAAGACUUUUCAUAGAAGGCCAUUAAUACUCAACUAAUUGAGUUCUGUUUUUUUUUUUUAAAACAAAACUGUUUUAAUUUUUUUUUUUAAUAAAGAGUUAAUCUAGAUUGAACUGUAGAGACACCAGUUUUGACCCCCCCCUGGUGAGACAAGUACUUUUGUCGAGCAAUAAUCACAGCCACCUUAUUUAACACUCUCCCAACUUUCGUAGCUUCCGCAAAGAAUUUUUUUUUUUAAGAAAAGAAAAUGGAACGUAAUGGCAGAGAUGACAUCGAGGUAGAGAAUGGUUAUGAUUUGGAGGAUGAUCAUGGUCACAGAAAGAAGGACAAGAAAGAGGAACAACAAGAAGAGUUGUCAGUGGAAAGAACAUUUGAGAAUCAAGAAGUGCCAUCAUGGAGGAAUCAGCUGACACUGAGGGCCUUUGUGGUGAGCUUCGUGUUGAGCAUUUUGUUCACCGUCAUAGUAAUGAAGCUCAAUCUUACAACUGGUAUCAUACCUUCCCUCAAUAUCUCUGCUGGCCUUCUGGGCUUCUUUUUUAUCAAGACCUGGACAAAGUUUCUUGAAAAGUCUGGCCUUUUGAAGCAACCCUUUACGAGGCAAGAGAACACUGUUAUCCAGACCUGUGUGGUU
rnacentral:lncRNA from 1 species